rnacentral:rRNA from 1 species
CAAGCUUUUAAGAGCAGAUGGCGGAUGCCUUGCCAAAGAGAGGCGAUGAAGGACGUACUAGACUGCGAUAAGCUAUGCGGAGCUGUCAAGGAGCUUUGAUGCGUAGAUGUCCGAAUGGGGCAACCCAACUAAUAGAGAUAUUAGUUACUCUAACUAUAGAGAGCGAACCUAGUGAAGUGAAACAUCUCAGUAACUAGAGGAAAAGAAAUCAACGAGAUUCCCUAAGUAGUGGCGAGCGAACGGGGAAAAGGGCAAACCGAGUGCUUGCAUUCGGGGUUGAGGACUGCAACAUCCAAGAGAACGCUUUAGCAGAGUUACCUGGAAAGGUAAGUCAUAGAAAGUGAUAGCCUUGUAUGCGACAAGGCGUUCUCAGGUAGCAGUAUCCAGAGUAGGCCAGGACACGAGAAAUCCAGGUUGAAGCCGGGGAGACCACUCUCCAACCCUAAAUACUACUCUUUGAGCGAUAGCGAACAAGUACCGUGAGGGAAAAGGUGAAAAGAACCGCAGUGAGCGGAGUGAAAUAGAACCUGAAACCAUCUGCUUACAAUCAUUCAGAGCCCUAUGAUUUAUCAGGGUGAUGGACUGCCUUUUGCAUAAUGAUCCUGCGAGUUGUGGUAUCUGGCAAGGUUAAGCGAAUGCGAAGCCGUAGCGAAAGCGAGUCUUAAUAGGGCGCUUGAGUCAGAUGCUGCAGACCCGAAGCUAAGUGAUCUAUCCAUGGCCAAGUUGAAACGCGUGUAAUAGCGCGUGGAGGACUGAACUCGUACCCAUUGAAACGGGUUGGGAUGAGCUGUGGAUAGGGGUGAAAGGCCAAACAAACUUAGUGAUAGCUGGUUCUCUUCGAAAUAUAUUUAGGUAUAGCCUCAAGUGAUAAUAAAAGGGGGUAGAGCGCUGAUUGGGCUAGGGCUGCUCGCCGCGGUACCAAACCCUAUCAAACUUCGAAUACCUUUUAUCGUAUCUUGGGAGUCAGGCGGUGGGUGAUAAAAUCAAUCGUCAAAAGGGGAACAACCCAGACUACCAAAUAAGGUCCCUAAGUUCUAUUCUGAGUGGAAAAAGAUGUGUGGCUACUCAAACAACCAGGAGGUUGGCUUAGAAGCAGCCAUCCUUUAAAGAAAGCGUAACAGCUCACUGGUCUAGUGGUCAUGCGCUGAAAAUAUAACGGGGCUAAGAUAGACACCGAAUUUGUAGAUUGUGUUUGACACAGUGGUAGAAGAGCGUUCAUACCAGCGUUGAAGGUAUACCGGUAAGGAGUGCUGGAGCGGUAUGAAGUGAGCAUGCAGGAAUGAGUAACGAUAAGAUAUAUGAGAAUUGUAUCCGCCGUAAAUCUAAGGUUUCCUACGCGAUGGUCGUCAUCGUAGGGUUAGUCGGGUCCUAAGCCGAGUCCGAAAGGGGUAGGUGAUGGCAAAUUGGUUAAUAUUCCAAUACCGACUUAUGGAGCGUGAUGGGGGGACGCAUAGGGUUAAGCGAGCUAGCUGAUGGAAUAGCUAGUCUAAGGGCGUAGAUUGGAGGGAAGGCAAAUCCACCUCUGUAUUUGAAACCCAAACAGGCUCUUUGAGUCCUUUUAGGACAAAGGGAGAAUCGCUGAUACCGUCGUGCCAAGAAAAGCCUCUAAGCAUAUCCAUAGUCGUCCGUACCGCAAACCGACACAGGUAGAUGAGAUGAGUAUUCUAAGGCGCGUGAAAGAACUCUGGUUAAGGAACUCUGCAAACUAGCACCGUAAGUUCGCGAUAAGGUGUGCCACAGCGAUGUGGUCUCAGCAAAGAGUCCCUCCCGACUGUUUACCAAAAACACAGCACUUUGCCAACUCGUAAGAGGAAGUAUAAGGUGUGACGCCUGCCCGGUGCUCGAAGGUUAAGAGGAUGCGUCAGUCGCAAGAUGAAGCGUUGAAUUGAAGCCCGAGUAAACGGCGGCCGUAACUAUAACGGUCCUAAGGUAGCGAAAUUCCUUGUCGGUUAAAUACCGACCUGCAUGAAUGGCGUAACGAGAUGGGAGCUGUCUCAACCAGAGAUUCAGUGAAAUUGUAGUGGAGGUGAAAAUUCCUCCUACCCGCGGCAAGACGGAAAGACCCCGUGGACCUUUACUACAACUUAGCACUGCUAAUGGGAAUAUCAUGCGCAGGAUAGGUGGGAGGCUUUGAAGUAAGGGCUUUGGCUCUUAUGGAGCCAUCCUUGAGAUACCACCCUUGAUGUUUCUGUUAGCUAACUGGCCUGUGUUAUCCACAGGCAGGACAAUGCUUGGUGGGUAGUUUGACUGGGGCGGUCGCCUCCUAAAAAGUAACGGAGGCUUGCAAAGGUUGGCUCAUUGCGGUUGGAAAUCGCAAGUUGAGUGUAAUGGCACAAGCCAGCCUGACUGUAAGACAUACAAGUCAAGCAGAGACGAAAGUCGGUCAUAGUGAUCCGGUGGUUCUGUGUGGAAGGGCCAUCGCUCAAAGGAUAAAAGGUACCCCGGGGAUAACAGGCUGAUCUCCCCCAAGAGCUCACAUCGACGGGGAGGUUUGGCACCUCGAUGUCGGCUCAUCGCAUCCUGGGGCUGGAGCAGGUCCCAAGGGUAUGGCUGUUCGCCAUUUAAAGCGGUACGCGAGCUGGGUUCAGAACGUCGUGAGACAGUUCGGUCCCUAUCUGCCGUGGGCGUAGGAAAGUUGAGGAGAGCUGUCCCUAGUACGAGAGGACCGGGAUGGACGUGUCACUGGUGCACCAGUUGUUCUGCCAAGAGCAUCGCUGGGUAGCUACACACGGAUGUGAUAACUGCUGAAAGCAUCUAAGCAGGAAGCCAACUCCAAGAUGAACUUUCCCUGAAGCUCGCACAAAGACUAUGUGCUUGAUAGGGUAGAUGUGUAAGUGCAGUAAUGCGUUUAGCUGACUACUACUAAUAGAGCGUUUGGCUUGUUUU